rnacentral:rRNA from 1 species
UACGGGGGGAGCAAGCGUUGUUCGGAUUUACUGGGCGUAAAGGGCUCGUAGGCGGCCAACUAAGUCAGACGUGAAAUCCCUCGGCUUAACCGGGGAACUGCGUCUGAUACUGGAUGGCUAGAGUUUGGGAGAGGGAUGCGGAAUUCCAGGUGUAGCGGUGAAAUGCGUAGAUAUCUGGAGGAACACCGGUGGCGAAGGCGGCAUCCUGGACCAACACUGACGCUGAGGAGCGAAAGCGUGGGGAGCGAACAGG